rnacentral:misc_RNA from 1 species
GAUGAAGAACGUAGCGAAAUGCGAUAAGUAAUGUGAAUUGCAGAAUUCAGUGAAUCAUCGAAUCUUUGAACGCACAUUGCGCCCGCCAGUAUUCUGGCGGGCAUGCCUGUUCGAGCGUCAUUUCAACCAUCAAGCCCCCGGGCUUGUGUUGGGGACCUGCGGCUGCCGCAGGCCCUGAAAAGCAGUGGCGGGCUCGCUGUCACACCGAGCGUAGUAGCAUACAUCUCGCUCUGGGCGUGCUGCGGGUUCCGGCCGUUAAACCACCUUUUAACCCAAGGUUGACCUCGGAUCAGGUAGGAAGACCCGCUGAACUUAAGCAUAUCAAUAAGGGGAGGA